rnacentral:misc_RNA from 1 species
AUCUCUCAACUUCUUAAAACUGCUGAGCGUACAGAUGGCGGCGACUCAAAGCUUAGGUCUUCUGCAUAUGAAACCUUGAAUGAGGUUGUCAGAUCAUCCAAUAUUGUGGAAACAUCUCAUAUUAUUACGGAGCUGCUCCCAGUCAUCAUGAACAAGUUGGGGCAGACCCUAGAUCUUCAGAUUGUAUCUUCAGAUGACAGGGAGAAGCAAGGAGAUGUGCAGGCUUCCCUUUGUGGUGUUCUACAAGU